AGUAGAAUGGCUGAGAUAGAGGUGAUAGAUUGUAAAUCUAUUAAGGAGUGAUUACUCUUCUACUA
rnacentral:tRNA from 1 species